UACGAAGGGGGCUAGCGUUGCUCGGAAUCACUGGGCGUAAAGGGUGCGUAGGCGGGUCUUUAAGUCAGGGGUGAAAUCCUGGAGCUCAACUCCAGAACUGCCUUCGAUACUGAGAGUCUCGAGUCCGAGAGAGGUGAGUGGAACUGCGAGUGUAGAGGUGAAAUUCGUAGAUAUUCGCAAGAACACCAGUGGCGAAGGCGGCUCACUGGCCCGGUACUGACGCUGAGGUGCGAAAGCGUGGGGAGCAAACAGG
rnacentral:rRNA from 1 species